rnacentral:tRNA from 1 species
UCGUGGUGUGCGCGGGCGCCGGUGCGGCGCCGCCGAAGUCGGUGUCGGCGGGGGACGUUCCGGCGUACUCGCGCAGUUCGACGGUCCUGCCACGCGC